UUUACCAUGCUAGUCGAACGGAAACGAUGAUAGCUUGCUAUUUGGCGUCGAGUGGCGAACGGGUGAGUAACGCGUAGGAAUCUACCCAGUAGAGGGGGAUAGCCCGUAGAAAUUCGGAUUAAUACCGCAUAUUCUCUAAGGAGAAAAGAAGGCCUCUUUACAAUGCUUUUACUAUUGGAUGAGCCUGCGUUAGAUUAGAUAGUUGGUAGGGUAAAAGCCUACCAAGGCGACGAUCUAUAGCUGGUUUUACGAGAAUGAUCAGCCACACUGGAACUGAGACACGGUCCAGACUCCUACGGGAGGCAGCAGUGAAGAAUAUUGGACAAUGGGGGAAACCCUGAUCCAGCAAUGUUGCGUGUGUGAAGAAGGUCCGAGGAUUGUAAAGCACUUUCAGUAAGCAAGAAAAGUGUAAAUCUAAUAGAUUUGCAUAUUGACCGCUUAUAGAAGAAGCACCGGCUAACUCCGUGCCAGCAGCCGCGGUAAUACGGAGGGUGCGAGCGUUAAUCGGAAUUACUGGGCGUAAAGGGUAAGUAGGCGGUUUAUAAAGUCACAUGUGANAGCCCUAGGCUUAAC
rnacentral:rRNA from 1 species